rnacentral:rRNA from 1 species
UACGGAGGGUGCGAGCGUUAUCCGGAUUUAUUGGGUUUAAAGGGUGCGCAGGCGGCACGGCAAGCCGGCGGUCAAAUCGCGGGGCUCAACCCCGCCCAGCCGUCGGAACUGCCGGGCUAGAGUGGGCGAGAAGUGCGCGGAAUGCGUGGUGUAGCGGUGAAAUGCAUAGAUAUCACGCAGAACUCCGAUUGCGAAGGCAGCGCACCGGCGCCCUACUGACGCUCAGGCACGAAGGCCAGGGGAGCGAAAGG